rnacentral:rRNA from 2 species
GGGUGACUGCGUACCUUUUGUAUAAUGGGUCAGCGACUUAUAUUCUGUAGCAAGGUUAACCGAAUAGGGGAGCCGUAGGGAAACCGAGUCUUAACUGGGCGAAUGAGUUGCAGGGUAUAGACCCGAAACCCGGUGAUCUAGCCAUGGGCAGGUUGAAGGUUGGGUAACACUAACUGGAGGACCGAACCGACUAAUGUUGAAAAAUUAGCGGAUGACUUGUGGCUGGGGGUGAAAGGCCAAUCAAACCGGGAGAUAGCUGGUUCUCCCCGAAAGCUAUUUAGGUAGCGCCUCGUGAACUCAUCUUCGGGGGUAGAGCACUGUUUCGGCUAGGGGGUCAUCCCGACUUACCAACCCGAUGCAAACUACGAAUACCGAAGAAUGUUAUCACGGGAGACACACGGCGGGUGCUAACGUUCGUCGUGAAGAGGGAAACAACCCAGACCGCCAGCUAAGGUCCCAAAGUCAUGGUUAAGUGGGAAACGAAGUGGGAAGGCUCAGACAGCCAGGAUGUUGGCUUAGAAGCAGCCAUCAUUUAAAGAAAGCGUAAUAGCUCACUGGUCGAGUCGGCCUGCGCGGAAGAUGUAACGGGGCUAAACCAUGCACCGAAGCUGCGGCAGCGACAUGUAAAUGUUGUUGGGUAGGGGAGCGUUCUGUAAGCCUGUGAAGGUGUGCUGCGAGGCAUGCUGGAGGUAUCAGAAGUGCGAAUGCUGACAUAAGUAACGAUAAUGCGGGUGAAAAACCCGCACGCCGGAAGACCAAGGGUUCCUGUCCAACGUUAAUCGGGGCAGGGUGAGUCGACCCCUAAGGCGAGGCAGAAAUGCGUAGUCGAUGGGAAACAGGUUAAUAUUCCUGUACUGGUGAUAAUUGCGAUGGGGGGACGGAGAAGGCUAGGCUGGCCGGGCGACGGUUGUCCCGGUUUAAGGAUGUAGGUGGGUGAAUUAGGCAAAUCCGGUUCGCUAUACACUGAGGUCUGAUGACGAGUCACUACGGUGGCGAAGUAGCUCAUGCCCCGCUUCCAGGAAAAGCCUCUAAGCUCUAGAUUAUCAUUAAUCGUACCCCAAACCGACACAGGUGGUCAGGUAGAGAAUACUCAGGCGCUUGAGAGAACUCGGGUGAAGGAACUAGGCAAAAUGGUGCCGUAACUUCGGGAGAAGGCACGCUGGCAUUAGGUGAAGUGGUUUACCCAUGGAGCUGAAGCCAGUCGCAGAUACCAGCUGGCUGCAACUGUUUAUUAAAAACACAGCACUGUGCAAACACGAAAGUGGACGUAUACGGUGUGACGCCUGCCCGGUGCUGGAAGGUUAAUUGAUGGGGUUAUCCGUAAGGAGAAGCUCUUGAUCGAAGCCCCAGUAAACGGCGGCCGUAACUAUAACGGUCCUAAGGUAGCGAAAUUCCUUGUCGGGUAAGUUCCGACCUGCACGAAUGGCGUAAUGAUGGCCAGGCUGUCUCCACCCGAGACUCAGUGAAAUUGAACUCGCUGUGAAGAUGCAGUGUACCCGCGGCAAGACGGAAAGACCCCGUGAACCUUUACUAUAGCUUGACACUGAACAUUGAGCCUUGAUGUGUAGGAUAGGUGGGAGGCUUUGAAGUGUGGACGCCAGUCUGCAUGGAGCCAACCUUGAAAUACCACCCUUUAAUGUUUGAUGUUCUAACGU